AAAAGCAAAAAGGGAAAAGUGGUGUGUGUAUAUGUCUUCACCCCCUUUACUAUGAAGCCACUAAAUAAGAUCUGGUGCAACCAACUACCUUCAGGGGCCUGUUGCACAAAAGUAGAAUUAAGACAUCCGGGAUAAAUGACUAAGCUGAGCUCAAUGAAGCCAAAACAUGUGCGUCCAGGCUUAAUUGGUUGCACAAAGACCAAACCAGGAUGAGCAGACACGGAUUCAUUAAGCCGGGUGAAACCAAUCCUGGAUAGGUGCGCGCUCACGGCUCACUCAAAUAGACCCCGCCACAGAUCACAGAUUAACUGAUUUACCAUGGCAACUAGAGCCGCGUACUUUUCCGGUCGGAAGCACAAAUCCUCAUGGAGGCAUACGAGGAGGUAAAAUAUAUAAUUAAGAAGAAAGGCAACACCGCCACAGUGAUAAAGCAAAGAGAAAAAGCGUGGCAAAGUAUUGCAGACCGCCUGAAUGCAUGGUCUGCAAUGCUGACUGUGUGAUCAGCAAUGUUGUGGCAAAAUGGCCUGGCUCAGUCCAUGACUCCAGAAUCUUUCGGGCCUCUGAAAUCUAUCAGUGCCUAUCACAAGGUGAAUUCUCUGGUGUGUUGCUGGGAGACAGGGGUAUGGCUGCCAGCCUUUUCUCCUGACACCUUUCACAGACCCCCAGGAAGCACAGCAGGCCUACAACCAUGCCCAUGCCAGGACCAGGGCCAGAGUUGAAAUGACCUUUGGCCUCCUGAAGGCACGCUUUCACUGCCUUCACAAAUUAAGGGUCAGCCCUGUUAGGGCAUGUGAUAUUACUGUGGCUUGUGCUGUCCUCCACAAUGUGGCCUGCCUGAGGAAGGAGAGGGCCCCCAGAGUGCCACCAGCCAUGGACUGGGACAAUCCGGCAAUCUUCCCUGAUGACGACAGUGGUCGGCUGCUGAGGGACCAAUAUGUGUUGAAUUAUUUUAGUUAGUAUGUGUGCUUUCAAUUUUGGUUAAAUAUGUCCUGUGGUGGCAGAGGAAUUUGGGUUUUUUGGGUUCGUUUUUUUACGAAUUUGGCCUCUUAUGAUGUUUGUGCGGUAUACUGUGUGUAAUACAAGGCUGCAGGGAGGCUACUGCAUCCAUUCAUUUGUCUGUUCAGUUGAUGUGUAUGGAUUUGUCCUGCAUUUAUUUUAGUGUGCAGACAUGCAGGGUGUGUUAUAUACAGACCUUUGAAUGUGUAUGUAUCAUUUUGUAUAAUAUGCUUGGAUUCUGUGCUUUCCAUCUUGUAGAGUCACUGUGACUUCAGUUUCGAAAGGAGCUGAUGGUUUACCUGCUUUGUUUUGUCCUUAUUCAAUAAAGGAACAUAAUGUUACACAUUGUGUUUUUAUAUUCAUAUGGAAUGUGUAUUUGUUUAUAUGACAGAGUACUAGGGCCACACUGAAGAAAAAGGAUAAAGUCAUACAUUUAUGAGGCUGGUUCUUUCUGCAGAAAAGCUACAUAUUGUUUUUACAGUUUUGAUACUUAUGACAAUGUGAUACUUAAUAUUCUGGCACAUCAGCAUGUCUUUGUUUAUGAAACCAUACUGAAGUACAAUUUCACGAAAUGCCCCGCAUCUGUCAUUUUAACAACUGUCCUCCUUUAAAACAACUGGUUACAAUAUUAUGACUUG